GCCAUGCAUGCAAGAUUUUUUUGUAAAAAUUUUGAAUCUAGUGAUGCAAAAGAAACAGGGCCUGAGUCGCCGCCUGUCCGCUGGCCAUUUUGCAGAAACCAGCCUACUCGCUCAGCGAGACGAGCGCGCCGUCGUCACGGGACGCGACGGCAUCGGCGCCAUCUCCAAGAGCAAGAGACAGCCGGCCCUCCCCGUUGAAGCACCGCGCCCGACGCGCUGUCUCUCCCGUGGAUCCGGUGCUCCCCACCCGCGCGCCCAUCCCCACCAAAUCGACUUGCCGCCGCCCACCGCCGCGUCGAGCUGCCGCGUCGAGCUGCAGAAGUCGGAACCCCCGACGGGUGGCAACGCGCUGCGCCGGACGGAUCUGGUCUCCAGGGAGGUGGUGCCGGGUGGAUCUGACCGGUGGCCUAACCUCCAACGGCAGUAGCUUCACCGGCGCCCAAAUUUCUAUCCGUUCAACCAUAAAAUCAAUUCCGGUUUGAUCUUUUUUGUCAAAUUGAUUAACGCAUCAGUUAAUUAAUCUUGUAAUCUCGUAGCAAACUUGUGCAUGCUCUUGCUGUUCUGUGCCAAAAGGUCUAUUAUUCCUACAUGUUUGAGUUUCUAUAGUUUGAUUUGUGAUUUCAGAUUGUGAUUUCUCUCAAAUGUCAGUUUGUGAUUUCAGAUAGAGCUUCUUGGAAAGGGGAAAGGAACAAUUGCCGAGCUUGAGCAGGAGUUUUGGUCCAAUCUUUUGCCUUUUUGUCCAGCUGGUGCAAUUUCUGAAUCUAAUUUGGGAAUGAAGAUCUUAGCUGCUUUAGUUACAAUGUUUUUUUGGCUCUCCACUGAAACAAUGUAUUGAUGGCCUAGCAGAUGAUGACAGUGGAGAGGACCUAUAGAUCUGAGCUUCAGGUAAUUGCUUGGAGCUUGCUUGUCCUCAGCACCUAUAGAUUAAUUUCUAUUAUCAGUUUGCUUCUCCUAUACUUUGUAACUUGCUUGUCCUCGAUGUACCAUUGCUAUAAAAUUAUCUGUCAAUUGUCAUGAGUUUUGCUAGAAAACUGAUCCCACCAGGGGCUGCUAGAAAUCUGAGUUGUGCUACAAGCUGUGCCUUUUCUGAAACUCUUUGAAACUGUGCCUUUUCUGAAAUACAGACCAGUUAAAAUUUUGCUAACUUCAAACUUUGAAAAAUCUGAAACUCUGAAAUGGUGACCUGAUUAGUACUGUAAUUAUUCUUUGAAUUGUUCACCACUGAAACUCUGAAAUGCUACAGACCACCUUGUUGUUAGUGGAAAUUGGUAACCUGCUAGGCCAUAUGUCCUUCAGAUAGUUCUCUGAAAGUUUCUUUCUAGCUGCAGCAUGCGUGUAUGUGUUGUUGUAUAUGGCUAUUGAUUAAUGGUAGUCAAAGUCAGACAUGUUCUUGUAUAUGUUCUUGCCAGAUAAUUUUUGCUUGAAUAUUGAUUAAUGGAUAUUUCUCUUGACUGAUGGUCUGAGCUUGAGUGAAGGCAUAUAUGUUCCACUUUCAAGUCUGAACUUGCUACAGUUUCAGUUCUGAAAACUGAUCAGAGUGCAAUGGCCUUGUUUGGUUGUGUUCUAGGAAUCCUAGAACACACUUUGACCACUCAUUAGGGAUGUCAAACAAAGCCAGUUUACAAAAUCAACUCCAGAACCCAUGCGCUAGGAACUAUGAAGAAUCUAAUAAGACCUUUGGCCGCGCGAUUAGAGGAUGGUUACUGUAGCGUCACUGUAGCCAAUCAUCAAUUAAUUACCGUUAUUAGAUUCGUCGCGAAAAAUUACACCCAUCCCUGAAGAGGUUGACUUCAUUUUGUACUCCAUGCAUGUAAGAUUUUCUUCUCGGAAUGUGUGUUCUAGAAUCUCUAGAAUGAUGUGACAUUUUACCAAACAAGGCCAAUAUAUAUUUCCUUGUGUA